UGGAAUGUAUAAUAAAAGCCAGAUUACAAUUUAUGCUUUGGACAUUGCAGCACGAAUUGUAAUGAAGCAAAAAAUAACAAAAAUACAUCAGUUAAUGUGCCAAGUCAAAGGUAGCAAAUAGCGAUAUCCAUAUCCACAUAAUCCAUCCAUCAUCGUACAAGAAGAAUAAAGACAACCCAGAAACCGAAAGCCAGAGCCAGACCAGAUCAUCUCAAAAAAAAAAAAAUAGUACUGGAAAGCCAGAGCCAGACCAGAUCAUCUCUCCACAUAAUCCAUCCAUCAUCGUACAAGAAGAAUAAAGACAACCCAGAAACCGAAAGCCAGAGCCAGACCAGAUCAUCUCAAAAAAAAAAAAAUAGUACUGCUUGCUAGCCUACUUCUAAUAUUGCGGCUGCUGAACUGAGUCACGGUCCGCAACAGACAGACACAAUCAGCCUCCCGGCCAAUUGGAUUAUUAGCAUUAAAC
rnacentral:lncRNA from 1 species